GACGAACGCUGGCGGCGUGCUUAACACAUGCAAGUCGAACGGAAAGGCCCUGCUUUUGUGGGGUGCUCGAGUGGCGAACGGGUGAGUAACACGUGAGUAACCUGCCCUUGACUUUGGGAUAACUUCAGGAAACUGGGGCUAAUACCGGAUAGGAGCUCCUGCUGCAUGGUGGGGGUUGGAAAGUUUCGGCGGUUGGGGAUGGACUCGCGGCUUAUCAGCUUGUUGGUGGGGUAGUGGCUUACCAAGGCUUUGACGGGUAGCCGGCCUGAGAGGGUGACCGGCCACAUUGGGACUGAGAUACGGCCCAGACUCCUACGGGAGGCAGCAGUGGGGAAUAUUGCACAAUGGGCGGAAGCCUGAUGCAGCAACGCCGCGUGCGGGAUGACGGCCUUCGGGUUGUAAACCGCUUUCGCCUGUGACGAAGCGUGAGUGACGGUAAUGGGUAAAGAAGCACCGGCUAACUACGUGCCAGCAGCCGCGGUGAUACGUAGGGUGCGAGCGUUGUCCGGAUUUAUUGGGCGUAAAGGGCUCGUAGGUGGUUGAUCGCGUCGGAAGUGUAAUCUUGGGGCUUAACCCUGAGCGUGCUUUCGAUACGGGUUGACUUGAGGAAGGUAGGGGAGAAUGGACUUCCUGGUGGAGCGGUGGAAUGCGCAGAUAUCAGGAGGAACACCAGUGGCGAAGGCGGUUCUCUGGGCCUUUCCUGACGCUGAGGAGCGAAAGCGUGGGGAGCGAACAGGCUUAGAUACCCUGGUAGUCCACGCUGUAAACGGUGGGUACUAGGUGUGGGGUCCAUUCCACGGGUUCCGUGCCGUAGCUAACGCUUUAAGUACCCCGCCUGGGGAGUACGGCCGCAAGGCUAAAACUCAAAGGAAUUGACGGGGCCCCGCACAAGCGGCGGAGCAUGCGGAUUAAUUCGAUGCAACGCGUAGAACCUUACCUGGGUUUGACAUGGAUCGGGAGUGCUCAGAGAUGGGUGUGCCUCUUUUGGGGUCGGUUCACAGGUGGUGCAUGGCUGUCGUCAGCUCGUGUCGUGAGAUGUUGGGUUAAGUCCCGCAACGAGCGCAACCCUUGUUCACUGUUGCCAGCACGUUAUGGUGGGGACUCAGUGGAGACCGCCGGGGUCAACUCGGAGGAAGGUGGGGAUGACGUCAAGUCAUCAUGCCCCUUAUGUCCAGGGCUUCACGCAUGCUACAAUGGCUGGUACAGAGAGUGGCGAGCCUGUGAGGGUGAGCGAAUCUCGGAAAGCCGGUCUCAGUUCGGAUUGGGGUCUGCAACUCGACCUCAUGAAGUCGGAGUCGCUAGUAAUCGCAGAUCAGCAACGCUGCGGUGAAUACGUUCCCGGG
rnacentral:rRNA from 1 species